GCCCGCUUGGCUCAGUGGUAGAGCGCAUCACUAGUAGAGGCUUUGUGGUUCAACAACCCUCUAGGUUCAUGAUGAGGUCAUCAGUUCGAUUCUGAUAGUGGGCA